UUGAACCAGGGAGUCAGAGGUUGUUGUGAGCCGAGAUUGCGCCACUGCACUCCAGCCUGGCAGCAGAGGGAGGCUCCGUCUCAAAAAAAAAAAAAAAAAUAGGGCUGCUCGUUCCCAUCGGUGGCACUUUCCUCUGUGCCAGGCUCCAGGCUCUGCACCAGUUUACCUGCUUUAGCCCUCCUGGGAGCCCCAUGGGGCUGGACCUCUCAUCAUCCCGAUGACCAACUUAGGGGCGCAGUAUCUAGCUUGUCCAGGGUGCAGCUGGGACCCCCAGGCCGCCCUCAUGCCACCAUCACACUUCAUAAACAGUUUGGUGCUGAAAGGGCCUUAGCGAAUGAAAAAAGUUUAGCAAUGAGAAAGGCAGUCAAGCCCCAAUGCAGGGUGUUCACAGAAAAGUGGAGCCCUCGGGCCAGCCAGGAGCCCACGUGGACAGGGAGGAGAGGAACCCUGAGCGUCUCCUCCCUGAGGCUGCACAGGCGGUGCAGUGUAGGGAACUGGGAGCCUGGUGGGCCAACCCCUCAAAUUCACACCUGUGGGUGACAGUGGGGCUAGGGACCAGCCAGGGCCACCACGGGGCCCGUCCAUGGUCCCCAGUGAUGGGGAAAGUUUCCUCCCCAGCCUGGAUGGGAGCCUCAGAUCAGAGCCAGGAGGUUCCAGGGCAGCGUCCCCUAAUCCUCGGUGGUUUUCCAGAGAGGAGGCUUCCAUGUGAGAACCCCCAGUCCUUCAUACCAAAGACAGCCAACUCAAGGCUAGGCCAGCACAGACACAGGUUUUGCUGAGAAAUGAGUUGCCAAAGUCACUGGUAUGGCCUUGACCCCCUGCCUCGGGUGGGGACAGACUGAAGCCUCUAUUUGCUGAGGAGGGACCUGGAGGAGGCUGACGCUGGGUUGGGGCCACGGUGGGUGCUGUGACGAGCCAGCCCUGGCUUGCGCUGCAGCAGUCCCUACUUCCCACCUUCUCCCAUCCUCCCAACCACCCAUUUUUCAGAGGAGAGGUAACCCUCCGUGCCCCAGCCUGUGAAGUGGGCAGUGGGAGGUCACAAGUGGGGCACCUGACCCAGGGCUCUCUGCCCAACCCCCACACCAAGUUCCUGGUGGUGGUGCACAGGGGGUUUCCCUGGGAUCCCCCCAAAAUGGGCUGUGAGCAGAAAGGAGGGCACAGGGGCCGGGCUUUGGAAACAGGCUUCAGUACACGGAGAGCGUCCCGGAAUGCAGACCCAGGCAGUAUUGAAAAGGAGCUGCUACCCAGAAAGACAAAACCCUAACUGAGAACUGUUUAAGUUCCAAAGCUUAUGAAUGAUUUCCACCAUUUACAUUGUUUUAUAUUGAUA
rnacentral:lncRNA from 1 species